GCCAGAUGUAGCCCCAUUCUCAACAACAAUUUGAACUCUUCCAUCAAUCAAGUUCUUCACCCAGUGUGGAAGCACUCAUAGUCUGCCCUGGCACCCCUGCCACAGCUAAAGAAGUUGCUGUGGCCAGAACCCAGCUGCUGGCAGGUAUAUUGUCCAGCUCUGAAUCCCUCGUACAAACACCCAGCUUGGCAAGGAGAAGGCACUGCAAACCUGGUGAAUAUGAAGGAUUUAGAGAUCAUGGAGGGUGCUAACAGUCACAUUAUCCAGUGCAAAAGCAAGCCAUUUGUUGGACCAACAAUAUUAAUUUCUCUAAGUGACCUCGAAGGAUUUGCUGACGGGAUUUCAUCAUCAAAAAGCCUAUCAGCAGGCUUGCAGGUUCGCCAUCACCUCAGGGACCUUUCAGGACUUUUUCCCCACACAUUGCUUCAUCACUUCGGAACCAGACAACACCAAAUUCUUAAUCCACACAGUCUGCAGAGAUUCAGAGACCAUCCUGUCUGAUGCAGCAGUCCCAGUCCCUUCCUACUUUCAAAAGGGUAACAAGGAGGAGCAGGAGCAGGAGGGAGCAGGAGAAACAAGAAGGCUGGCCUGUGCUUUCCAGCGUUUUCUAAAAUAUUCCAUUUUUUUUUUCUGAACUGA